ensembl:lincRNA
UUUUGGUUAUUAUGAAUAAUGCAGCUAUAAACAUGAAUGCAUGUAUAUCUCUUCCAGACCCUGUUUUGAAUAUAUCUCCAGAAGUGGAAUUGCUGAAUCACAAGGUAAUUCUAUAUCUCAUUUGAGGAACCUCCAUACUGUUUUCCACAGUGGCUGUACUAUUUUAUAUUUAUACCAACAGUGCACAAGGGUUCUGAUUUCUCCACAUCCUCACCAACGCUUGUUAUUUUCUGUUUUUUCAAUAGUAACCAUCCUAAUGAGGUGGUAAACCCUGCAUUUUUUUGUUUUUCCUUUUUUUCCAGAAACCAUAUUGAAGUAAAGUUGAACUAAGAUUAUGUGAUGUUCUCUGUGGGCACAGCCUCCAUUUUUACCUGGGUCUAGUGUUGGAUGAUGUUCCUGCCAUACUAUGCAAACUGGUCACAGGCAUCUCUUCACUUGUUCAGUAGACACAUUUAGGAGCCAGACACCAAGGAUUGGCUAAAGACACAGAGCUAACUAUGAAGAGGAGCUUGGAGCUCACAUCCUGCUAUAGGGAGGAACUGGCACAUGGACGAAGUGAUAACACAGAGAGAACCCAUCUUACCACAUACAGGUACAAGGAAGACACCAGAAGGAAGACACCGCAUAUCUUCCUAGAAGAAUAUGCUGAUAAGAAGUACCAAUCCAAGUGGCUACAUCUCCAGCACUCUCCCAGGACCCUUGCAGAAUGGCUUUCCUUAUCAACUCCUCUUCCGCUGACCUUGUCUACCACUCGGCAGUAGAAGUUCUCUUCACUUCAUGUAUCAGAAUAACAUCUGGGGAACGAGAUUCUCAGAAGGGCCAGGUCCCCAAGAAACCCAAGGUUAUUGAAAGGAGAAGUUGGCUUUACCCAGUGUCAGACGCCGGCAGAAGAUAGCCAAGUUCAGAUCUCACAAUGAAAGCACAGUAUGAAUUUGGGUCACAGGAGGGCACGGAGACACUGCCUAGAGCCGGGGCCGUUCGGUGCUCUGGAUGCUGGGAAAACAGGUAGGGGGAGUUCAUGCAGAGAAGAAGAAAAUCAACAUGGUGUGUAUUUUACCGUCAAAUAACAUAAAUGUUCUUGUUUUGGUUGUGUAUGUUGGAUUCUAAAAAUACAUCGACUUCAAUAAAUUAUUUGUCAUUAUCAAGGCAAUUUUACUUAGCCUUUGCGGAUUCUCUAUGGAAACAGUAAAUGAUCUUGCCUAAAUUAUAAAACUGUAAUAACCGUUUUGUAAUAAUAACCAAGAGUUCUCGAGAAGUCAAAGGGCCAGAUUGCAACUAAGAACAACAACAUUCUUUUUUUUUUUUUCUUUUUUUUGAGACAGAGUCUUGUUCUGUUGCCCAGGCUGAAGUGCAAUGGCAUGAUCUUGGCUCACUGCAACCUCUGCCUCCUGGGUUCAAGUGAUUCUCCUGCCCCAGCCUCCCAAAUUGCUGGGAUUACAGGCAUCCACCACCAUGCCUGGCUAAUUUUUGUAUUUUUAGUACAGACGGGGUUUCACCAUGUUGGCCAGGCUGGUCUCAAACUCCUGACCUCAGGUGAUUCACCCUCUUCGGCCUCCCAAAGGGCUGAGAUUACAGGCAUGAGCCACUACCCCCAACAACAACAACAUUCAUGAUUAUUUUUAUUUCAAAGAAAGCUACAAAGUUAAAUCUGAGGUUACCCUUGUUGCCCUAGUGCUAAAGCCAACCCAGUCUUUUGGGAGGCAGAUUUUUUUUUUCCAGCUCAAUGUAAUUAAAGUAAUUCUAGCACUUGGAAAUAGCCAGUAUUUAAAUAAUCAGGCCCAGAGCACCUGUAAUCCCAGUACUUUGGGAGGCCAAGGCAGGAGGAUCACUUGAGCCAGGAGUUAAGGGCCAGCCUGGGCAAUAUAGCAUGACCUCUACCUCUACCAAAAAAAAAAAAAAAAAAAAAAAAAAAAAAAAAAAUAUAAAAAAAAACAAAAACCCA